rnacentral:tRNA from 1 species
AAGGUUGUAGCUCAAGCGGUAGAGCACAUGCUUAGCAUGCACCAGAUCCUGGGUUCAACCCCCAGUAACUUCU